AUAUCUUUGAAGAGAGGCUGGCGCAAGGGGAGGACCCCACGUCUGGAAAUCACACUACUGGCUGUGUACUUCCAAUGCUGGACAAGAUCUGUAAACACCUUGCCCUCGGAGCGCUUCUGUGACUCUGGAUGAGAGAGAGAAGGGGCUUGUUCUGAAGAAAAGUCAACAGCACUGAGGCCAGAACAUGGGUGAUAGAAUGGAAUUGUGCCCUCCCUCAGAAGACAUGACGUGUUAACCUCCAGUACUAGUGAAGGAGGAUUGAAGACUCUCAUGUCCUCAAUGGACUAGCUGACACAGAUGUGGGAAUCUGCUUUCAUAGGUUAACGAGUCCGUUCAUAGGCUCUUGUGUCUAUUUGGAGAAGCCAGCAGCUUCUGCUGAUGUGAGCAGCCUUGAGGGAGGCCCACUUCAAGUCUACAGCCAACGGUCACGUGAGGCGACACUGAGCUCAUCACGCCCAGAUUCCUGACCCACAGGGGCUGUGGGCAGAGAAACCUUCACGUGAGCCACAGACAAGACGGCUUCGGCAACUCAGCAAGAGAAGCUGCUUCAAGAGACCAGCACUGCAGGCAUCUUGAUCUUGGGCUAGAAGUCUCCAGACCCAAGGGAAAAAUCACUUCAGCUGUUUAAACAAUCAGCUCAGGCAAGCUAACAGGCCUCAUUAUUAUGGGGGAAGCCUUUCAGUUGGACCGGAGUUCCAGGUCCAUCCCCAGUUGCUGCAGCGGCAGGCAAUGAAACAUGAACACAAGACUCAACACCCGUGUGGAGUUUAUUGGAAGAAGG
rnacentral:lncRNA from 1 species